GGUGCUAGGUGGCUCACCCUGAUCUGGGCAUCCGCGCCGGCGUCCUCUGUCUCCCUCGCCCCGGCCACCGUCUUCCUCCAUGGCGCCCAUUCUCCAGCGGCGUGACAUGCGUACGUUGGGAGGAGGCACCACAAAUCGACUGCGAGCGCCAGGAUUAAACCGGUUUUGAAAGUAAAUCACCUGAAGCUGGAAAUAGCAGUGAGUACUGGGUUCAGUAUUCCAACUGGUGCUUUUCACGGUUUGUGGUUAGAGGCACAUAUUAAUGUUAAGCUCACGGUGGAGCCUGAUUAUUUUCUCAGCGAGGAUGGUGUGGCGAACGGCGGCCAGAUGCUUCAGAGGAAGGGGAGCGGUGGGUUGAGGUCAAAAUUGGUGGACUACUGGAUGCCUAGAAGGAAGGAAGAAGGACCGGUGGCAUGGCCUCGACAGGAUGAGGAGGCGGGUCCCGGCAUGGCCUGCACGACUGCAUUUUCUUCUCGGUUCCUUUGCUUCCAUGGGUGUUUGUGCUGGCUUGCAUUGCGAUGGAUUACGUUGUGUUGGAUCCGGCAAGGCCAGGUGAUUCUGAUGAAAGUCGGUGAGGUGCACAAUGCUUGUAGAGUGCCUUCAUAGAUUACCAGGAUUUUGAGCUCAUAAAGCUUCUGCAUAUUCGUUGUGGUUUUCGUAUUGUGGCGAGAAUUGCAUCUCCAUUUUUCUCAAAGUCGGAGCAGGGGGAUUUCUGAUGGAGGGUUGUGUUCGUUGAGGGUCCUCUGUUUUGCUGUUAAGUGUGCCUUCGAGUUCAUCAGGUUAUGUGAAUUGUUAUGUCAAAGAAAAUAUAGAUCUGUUAAUUGCAUUGUUAAAGCAUAUCUCUGAAUCAAGAGACAAUGCGAAGAAACGGGAGUUUGGCUUUAGAGAAACAAAGGUCGAAACCAUGUUCUGAAUGCGAGUGGGCUGUUAGAGAAACAAAGGUGGAUAUCAUGUUCUGAAUGUGAGUGGGCUUAGUGCAACAAUGUGAAAGGCUUCAAGGAAAUGGAAUUUCUUAUGCAAUCCUGUUCAAUAAAUAUCUAUUUCUGAAUUUA